AUUGACUUCCUUCUGUGAUAUGCCAACUGCAAUACGUAGUUCCAAGGGAAUGAAGAUAGGAUGUUGUGCGGUAACUAGAAGUGAGUAUACUAAACCUUCACGCCUGCUACUUUUUUUGAUAUUUAUGAAUGCGGGGUAAGGACUCUUAUUAGAUAGAUGUGGGCUAAGGACUGUGUUGACUGAAGCUUUCGACAUCCCAGAAGGACAAGGGGAGCACCAAACUCUGCACUGAUGUUAGGGGUGAAGAAAGCCAAACAUUAGAAGAGCCCAGUCAUUCUAGCAGCAGCAAGAGAUCAAUAAAAACCACUGACAGGAAUGACCCAGAGCAAGAUACUGCAGUCCAAUGUCCGUUGGAGACUAUAGGCUGUCCUUCAGCUUCUAAUGGAUUUGCUUCUCUGCAGAUAGAGGAAGACAUUCAUGAAGUGGACAAACUGGGUGAAGAAUUACUGCAAGGGGCUAAGGAAACCCAGCCCAUGAACCAGAUUGGAAAGGAAAGACCUUAUGGUUCAUUGACUAAGGCUUCUCCCAGGGUAGUUGAUGCAGAGGAAAAUUUGCAUGAUCAGUCCAGAGAUAUUUUAGAGAAAGUUCACUCAAUAAGUGUGAGGAGGGCUGUUUUGGUGAAAGAAAUUUAGGAGUAGAAAGAGAAAAUAGUUGCUCUAUCCAUGAAUCAAGGGGGAAGACAGAGAGGCAAAGGAAAAGGCAAAUAAAAACCUACUGAAGGUGGUCCGGCCAAAGCUACUAGGGAAUGCCAAAAGGGUGAGUAAAGAUUCCAUCACUAAGACUGUCUCAUGAAGGCUGUAGUCUGGAAUGUCACGGGGUUGAACAUGAAAGAGAAACAUAAAGAGUUGAGGAAAGGUGGA
rnacentral:lncRNA from 1 species